GCCCCCAUGUUCAGGCAAGGAAAGGUAGCUUCGGCCAUCCGGCGAGGGAUGGGCCCGCGGUACAUUAGCUAGUUGGUGGGGUAACGGCCCACCAAGGCGACGAUGUAUAGCUGGUCUGAGAGGAUGAUCAGCCACACUGGGACUGAGACACGGCCCAGACUCCUACGGGAGGCAGCAGCCAGGAAUCUUGGGCAAUGGGCGCAAGCCUGACCCAGCAACACCGUGUGGGCGACGAAGGCUUUAGGGUCGUAAAGCCCUGUUGAUAGGGACGAAGGGCGAAGGGUUAAU
rnacentral:rRNA from 1 species